CCUACGGGGGGCUGCAGUGAGGAAUAUUGGUCAAUGGGCGAGAGCCUGAACCAGCCAAGUCGCGUGAAGGAUGACGGCCCUACGGGUUGUAAACUUCUUUUGUCAGGGAGCAAUUGAGUCCACGUGUGGUGUUAGCGAGAGUACCUGAAAAAAAAGCAUCGGCUAACUCCGUGCAAGCAGCCGCGUUAAUACGGAGGAUGCGAGCGUUAUCCGGAUUUAUGGGGUUUAAAGGGUGCGUAGGCGGAAGAUCAAGUCAGGGGUAAAAAUUCGGGGCUAAACCCCGUCGUGCCGUUGAAACUGAUGUUCUUGAGUGGGCGAGAAGUAGGCGGAAUGCGUGGUGUAGCGGUGAAAUGCAUAGAUA
rnacentral:rRNA from 1 species